GCAAGUCGAGCGGCAGCGGGAAAGUAGCUUGCUACUUUUGCCGGCGAGCGGCGGACGGGUGAGUAAUGCCUGGGAAAUUGCCCAGUCGAGGGGGAUAACAGUUGGAAACGACUGCUAAUACCGCAUACGCCCUACGGGGGAAAGCAGGGGACCUUCGGGCCUUGCGCGAUUGGAUAUGCCCAGGUGGGAUUAGCUAGUUGGUGAGGUAAUGGCUCACCAAGGCGACGAUCCCUAGCUGGUCUGAGAGGAUGAUCAGCCACACUGGAACUGAGACACGGUCCAGACUGCGGGGGGAGGGGGGGGGGGCACAU
rnacentral:rRNA from 1 species